rnacentral:rRNA from 1 species
AUGUAGGUAUCUGCCCUUUGGCCUGGAAUAACACGAGGAAACUUGUGCUAAUACCGGAUAAGUCUUUACGGAGAAAGCUUUAUGCACCAUUGGAUGAGCCUGCACUUGAUUAGUUUGUUGGUGGGGUAAUGGCCUACCAAGACAGUGAUCAAUAGCUGAUUUGAGAGGAUGAUCAGCCACACUGGGACUGAGACACGGCCCAGACUCCUACGGGAGGCAGCAGUGGGGAAUAUUGCACAAUGGGCGAAAGCCUGAUGCAGCCAUGCCGCGUGUGUGAAGAAGGCCCUAGGGUUGUAAAGC